UCGAGUCCAGGCGUUAACUGGAUUGCACACCACACACGGUUAGAAGACCACCGACGACUGGCGUCGUUAUCGCGGUUCGAUUCCGCGAGUCGGCAUUAAGGCGGCCAUAGCGGUGGGGUUACACCCGUACCCAUCCCGAACACGGAAGUUAAGCCCACCAGCGUUCCGGCGAGUACUCGAGUGCGCGAGCCUCCGGGAAAACCGGUUCGCCGCCUCCAUUCAUUUCCAUCAUUCAU
rnacentral:rRNA from 1 species